rnacentral:rRNA from 1 species
GUCUAUGACCAUACCACCUGAACACACCUGAUCCUGUCUGAUCUCAGAAGCUAAGCAGGGUUGCACCUGGUUAGUACUUGGAUGGGAGCCCUUAAAAAUGAGAAAGAAAGCAAGAAUAUAUG